UACGGGGGGGGCAAGCGUUGUUCGGAAUUACUGGGCGUAAAGGGCGCGUAGGCGGGCGGUCAAGUCAGAGGUGAAAUCCCACGGCUCAACCGUGGAAGUGCCCCUGAUACUGGCCGUCUCGAGGGAGGUAGGGGCGUGCGGAACUUCCGGUGGAGCGGUGAAAUGCGUAGAUAUCGGAAGGAACACCGGUGGCGAAAGCGGCGCGCUGGAUCUCUACUGACGCUGAGGCGCGAAAGCCAGGGGAGCAAACGGG
rnacentral:rRNA from 1 species